AAGGAGUCGUCCUUCCCCUGGAUGGGCAGUAUGGAGAUGCACUGUGCAUGACGAUCCCGGCAGUCCUGUGGGGCUAAGUCAUCCGUGUGGUGGCCAGCUUGAUAAUUCAUCUCUGUGUCGGCUGACUCUCCCUUCUGGCUCUGCUUUCUUCUUGCCCCUCACUCCUGCUCCUUGGAUCUCACUCCCCCGAAAGGACAUGUCCUUGAGAGGUAGAAGGCUUGUGCUUGGAUGAUAAGACGACAGUGGAAGCUGACUGCUUCACCUGCGUCUUCUUGGCUCGUCAUAACAGCAUGGUCCCAGCCCUGCAUCAUCCUCAUCUCACCCCGUCUCCGUGCCAGUGAGAUCCUGGAGCCUGUUGGGAAAUUGUGGAGGUUUUUGCCAAUGUCAUUGGCCAUAUUUUGGCCAAGGAGACCAGGGGCUUCGGUCUGCCAUGUGUUUUCAGCGUGCUGGCUGCCUGCGAACACAUCUGUCAACCUUAACAUCAGAGAACAAAAGCUUGGAUUUGACAUGAAAAGGACAGCACAAGAGCAGCCCUGACCGGACCGCCAUGUGGCAUUCCUAAGCGUGCAGAGAUUCAGCCUGGAAGAUAUGCACAGUACUUGAAAGAAGUCUUUUAUCCAGCCUGUAGAGACCAUGCAUCCCAAGUCACAGAAGAAGGAAGCGAAUGAGAAUGAGGUGUGUGGAAAUGAGAUGUUGUCAUAUGAAGAGCUGUCCAUCUCUCGAUUUUUAAAGCCAUAACUAGAGAACCCUCAGUCCCUGAAGCUCUCCAGAUUUUUAGGGAAUGCCUGGGGCAUUCCCUCGCUAAUCCAGUGUUACACUUCAUACAACUUGGAUUUUCCUGAAGGUUUUCCUAAGAUCCCCAGAGUCCAUAAAUGUUCUUGUUCCGCCUUUGGCUUGAACUAGUUCAUCUGAAUUUUGGUUACUUGUCUUCAACAAGAAGAAUCAUAGGAAUGCAGCCCUCACAGAAGCUGGAGCAAGGACUGUGCACAGUAAGUGUUGCUUGAACAAGGGGAAAAUUGUGUGGCCUCAAACCAGAGAGUGAGACAGAGCAGGAACUAGGACCCAGAUCCUUCGGCGAUGUGAUCAGUGCUCUUUCUUCCUAUCCCAUGCUGGGCCCCGAGAGAGAAAUGCUGAAGAAGUACCAUACACCCUUUCGGAACGGUGAUGUCUGGUUUCCCCCUUCAAGCAGUUUUCCUGUGAAGGGAAGUGGAAGGAACUGUGGGCGCAGGGCCAUGGCGUCUGUUUUAUCUGUAUUUGUUCCAUGAGGUUUGAGCUGUUCCCUCAGCCCCCCAGGAAUCAAUGUGUGUGCUAAUGUUUCCUGCUAAUGUUUUUCCUCAUUUUGGGAUAAGUGUCUAGGAAAAGUGUGAUGCAGACACCUUCCUUCCUAGAGGGAGAAUACAUCCCCUGUAUUGCUCUGUACAGCUGAUCCUGGCUGUGUUGCAGAGGUAAGCAAGCACACCUGUAGCCUGAUAGCUGAGUCCUAAUGAUGCACAUCCAAUACUAAAAAGUCCAGAGUUACUGAGUUCAGGCAUAGCUAGAUCCAGGUGCUCACAUGAUUUUAUCAAGAAGCGAUUUCUCUUUAUCUCUGUCUCUAUCUUCCUUGGUUUUGAUUUCAUUCUUAGGGUGAGGGGCUUUACUCUCGAGGUGGCCUCUGGCAGCUCUAGGUUUACAGCCUCACAAUUUAACGACUAUUCCUUGAUCAUGACUGUAACAUUUCCAGGAUUAGCUCUUAUGGGACCCACUUAUGUUAUAUUUCCACUACUGAACCAUGUUGUUGAUUUAUUGUUUGUUAAUCCAUUCAACCAAGAUGCAUUGAUUGCUUUCCAGGUUCCAGCAGCAUUUUAGGUUACUGGGGAUAUAGCAUUAAAAAGACAUACAAGACCCACAGGGGCAGGCCCAGUGGCAUAAUGGUUAAGUUCGCGUGCUCUGUUUUGGCGGCCGGGGUUUUGUGGGUUCAGAUCCUGGGCACAGACCUACACACUGCUCAUCAAGCCAUGCUGUGGAGGCAUCACACAUACAAAAUAGAGGAAGCUUGGCACAGAUGUUAGCUCAGGGACAAACUUCCUCACUAAAAAAAAAAAAAAGACAUACAAGAUCCCUGAAUUCAUUCCAGAAGUGGGAGAUAUUUGUGCAUGUGUGCACACACACACACACACAGGCACACACACACCCUCCUCAGAAAAAUGAGUAAACAAUAAGAAAAGACAUCAGAUAAUGUAAGAGCUGUGCAGAAAAUCAAAAUAGGGAGAGUGAAUUAAAAGGGAUUGGGUUUCUACUUCAGACUGGGUAGUGAGGGCAGGCCACCAAUCACCACGGCCAGCGAAUGGCCUGCCCUGACUGGUAAUACUACUGUUACCCCUUGUAUCAUGGUGACAGGGCAGGAUUCCAGCCAAACCAAGUGCCUGAGAGAGAGAGGGAGGGGGCUAGCCUACGAGGGAAAACUGGAGUGCCAUUUCCAGAAUCAGAGGGAAGGGAUGCUGGGUAGGGAAAAAUUAUAGUUGUAGACUAUAGGAAUCCUUUUAUCAAAUGUAAUUUUUAUGAGGAGACUUCACAUAUUGAAGUGAAUGACUAGAGCAGUGUUUUCUCAGGAUGGAUUUAUUCUGUAAGUUCGCAUUUAUUAAGGUAAGCAUUGUGAAGUCAGGCUGUGAGAACAAUGGAGCUGUUUUGAUGAUCCUCGUGUCAGAUCUGUGUUUGUUGACCUGUACCAAAUGCAAUCCAACUCCUUUUCCCUGUCACUUAUCCUCUCUGAGAGGGACAGGAGGCACAUUUUCCAGUUCCUUCCAAGCAUUUGUCCAUUGAAUCCUGAUCCUUCUGUAAACAAUUGUUUGAAGGAAAACACACCCAACUCUGAAAGAAUAAAAAAAGGUUCAGCUCUAUGGUAGACAAAUCCAUAUAGUAAAGAAACUUUUUGACCUCAAAAAGCAAUAACAAAGAAACCUAGCUCUGGGGGGCUCUGAGCCUAACCAAAUGGGCUAUUCAGCUCGUUUGUCUAAAUGAGAUGUAUUUAAUCUACUGGAUUUCUGUCUUUUUCCAAGAUGUUCUUGCUUUACUUUUGUAUAUCUAAAACGAUCGUUGAUAUGGUUUUGGUUAAGAAAAAAAGUCCUAAAAAUGAAUUAGCUUAUCCCAAAGAAGAGAUCAGAUCUUGCUCAGAUUCUUGACCUGAUACCUUCAGAGUCUUCCACUCAGAUUCCACCUCCACUCUCAUAUUUUUGUUCUUCACUGCUAGCCAAUGCAUUGUUGGCUGCAGCUUGAACAAGUUCUUCACUCUCCCUUGUAUGUUCUGUGCCAAUUCAGCCUCCACAUGUUUAUUUAUGUGGUGAUACCACUGGAUUUCCUCUCCAGUCCUCUUCAAAUUCCAUUUAUCCUUCAAGGGUCUACUUAAUGUCAACCUUGUCCAGGAAACCCUCCCAGACCAGCCCACUGGAUUUCCAUAACGCUUUGUUUCUCUCACCAAUUUGGAUUUAUUAUAUAAGUUGUAGAUGGGAAAAAUGAGGUAAAACAUUUACGAUCUAACUUCAUCCUCUCAGGGAUGGGGCAGAUUUGACUAAAAGCAUCUUGAUUUGUCCUUUAAGGGGGUAGGCAAGCCCGAAAGUCCUGGGCUUUGGUGGGCUCACAGGCACAUAGAGAGAUGGCUCAGGUGCUUUCCCUGAGAAAAAGAGAGGAAUUUGUUUUCUGCUUCUGAGAGGUAGGGGAGGAGAAGAGAAGAGAGGUGAUAGGAAGGAAGAGGGAAGAGAAGGAGGAAUGAGUGAGGUCAGUCAAGGUGGGCCCACUGAGCAGUGAAGAGCAGCCUCCUGUGGUGAGUGGCCAAGGCAUUUUAAAAGGAGGAGUGUCUGAUGCUCCUCAUGGUGUUGGUUGUGCUGCAUUGAUGUAAUCCCUUUUCUUUGCUUCCUUCACACCUUGAGGGAAGUCUGCCGCUCUCUCAAGAGCUUUGAGUGAGCAGAUUUUGGAGGGAAUUGAAGAAAGAGCUGGGUUUUAUAUCUGGGUUGAUGUGGUGUGAAGCUGAAAGCAUUAGUGAAGGGAAGCAAGAACCUGGACCUAGUGACUACACCACUCUGUGUAAAUCUUUAGGAAGAAUCUUUUGGGAGUUCUAGCCAAUCAUAACUACAUCUCAGCAGCUCAUAAUGGGGCUACCCUGAUUACAGUCUCUGUACAGUGAAGCACCCCAGCAACUUGAUAAUCCCAAAGCCACCUGUACAAGAAUCUCUUGCCCCAAGGUCCCACUCCUCCAGGAAGCUGCUUCUCAUUUUCUCUCCCUCAUUCUUUCUCAGUUUCUAUGAUGUCUCCUUUUUCCUUCCUCCAUGCUUCUGCCUCAUCCUGUUUUACUUAUAGCAAUUUGGCUUCUACCAUCCUUCUGUCUACUUUCUCUGUUGGCAUGACAAGGACCUGGUAAUGGACCAAAUGAUCAGAAGAUCAUUUCUUCUGGGAUAGUGAAAGGUAGAGUGCAGAAGAGGUAGACAGCAAAUCUUUAUAGUUUAAUAAAUUUUUAUACCUAUCUCACUCUCACAUAUACAAACACAUAUAUACAUAAAGAUCUUAUCAGACACUCUAAUUUGUAAAUUCUAUGAGACUACUGACCAAGUCUCUUUUUUUGACCAUGUCUUUUCCUGUGAGCCCUUAUUCAAUGAAUCAUAGGUGUCCUUCAGUAAGUCACAUGACAUCUAUGGGAGGAUGGAGGGAAGGAAUGGGUUUGAUAUUUGUAGAGCUGCUGUUAUGGGUCAGACAUAGUACAAGGCACUUCACACAUAAUAUCUACAGAGUAUUCAAUGUCUCCUAUACAUUCAGUACUCUAUGUAAGUUCUCUUCUUUAAUUCUCACCACUGGGGCAUGUUACUCAAUUCCAGGAAUUAUGCAAUAUGGCGGCCAUGCUCAUGAUCAUUUUAUCAGAUAGAUAUUGUGAGCACAAUUACACAGAUAAGGAGUCUUGGGUUCUGAGAAUUAUUAACUCUGCUCAAGUUUCCACAGCUGGAGUGGCAGAAACAUAACAUUUGUCCUAGUCUUUUUGACUCUGUGGCCCAUGGUCUUUUUCUCUCCACCAUAAAACCAAUCUAUUUCACAUGUCUGAAGACAAGAUGUAUAGAGGCCAAGAAUGAGGAAGCCUGUGCUCAUAAUCAAUAAGCUAUGGAGCAGGAGGGGAAAGGAUGGGUAUAGGAUGACAUACUCCACUCCAGCAGUGUUUCUCAAGAGGGGGACUGUGGAUGUUUUUUGGCUGGGCGAUUCUUCAUCAUGUGAGAAUGUUCCAUACGUUGCAGCGUAUUUUUUACCCUUAGUUCCUGCCCACUAAGUUCCAGUAGUGCCCCUUCUCUAUGUGACACCACCCAAAAAUAAGUGCUCCCAGACAUUUCCAAAUGUCCCUAGGAGAGUGUGCUGCUCCCUCCACCCUAAGAACCACUACAGACCAAGCUGCCUGCCUAUGUGAUCUCUAGCUCCUUUGUAGUUUUAGUAUUCAGUAAUCUGGUGUGGAAAUGAAUGAAUGAAUGAAUGAAGGAGAGAAAGUCAUGCAUGAACCCAGGCAUAACCUGCUCUCAUGAGGGCAGCUUUAGAUGGGAUGUUCCUGUGGCCUUGGACUACUGAGAUCACAGGGGGACACAGAGCGAUACCCAAAUGGAAGUGUGAUGUAGGACCCAGAUGUGAGAUGAAAGGAUCCAAAAGACAGACUUCAUCUACUCUGCAAUUUACCUCUAACCAGACCCCUUCCUGGUGCUUUCAAGACUGGUAAGUGAAGACUCUGCUUGCUCAAUAGCAGCCCAGAGCAGGAACAGAAGAAGGGAAGGAGGUGCGCUGGCCUCAGUGUAGUAAAGUGGAAUACCAUCACUCUCGAUGUUAAUGCAAACCAGCUGCCGGCCGGCCCCAGCUUGCGAUAGAACAGGCGGCAUUCUUGGACACUGAGUUAUUCUUAGAAGCAUGUGCACAGCCCCCUGGCAGGGCUCACUGUGAACUGGCUUUUGCCAGCCCCCUGUCAGGAUGCUGUGCCAGCAGACCCAAGAGUGAUUGUUCUUGCUUAUGAAAAAUAACUUGGGGAUUUUAAUUUCAAAUUACCCACAGAGCUGGGGCCUGAAUGUGGAGAAUGGCGGUAAGGGCAAAGAGGAGAGCAGGACAAAGGAAGGGGGUGGGGGACAGAAGAGCAUCAUUCAUUCAUUCAAGAAAUAUUUAUCGAGGGUCUACCUUGUGUAGAUACUGGAUUUCUCACCACAUCCAGACUUGCAUUUGAUCUGGGUGGACAUCUAUGGACAGUUGUCCAGACCUUGAGAAUGAACACUGCCAUGUGGCUUUAGAUUCUGCUUAUUGCGUGCUUUUUGUGUGCCAUGCUCUUUACAUAGGAGAUCUCAUUCAAUCUUCGCAGAAACAUUGAAAGGUAGGUAUCACUGCUGCUAUUUGACAGGAAACAGUCUUAGAGAAGGAAUCUGCUCAAGGCUCCACAGCUAUCAAGAGGCAGAGCCAGGAUCUGAACUUAGGCCAGCUGACUCCCGCCUUCACAUUUGUGUUGAGCAUCAGCUCUAUGCCAAGGCUGAGUAGACAUUGGGACUGUGAAGCCAAAUAAGGGGGCUGAAUCCCAGCCCUCAAGCCUCCCUGCUGCAUUGUCUGUGGGGGAGACAGGCAUAAGACAAGGAAUGAUAAUAACAGGAUUUGUAAGGCAGGAGAUCAGAGCUACUGAUGAACUCUGCUGGGGUGCGUCAGGGACAGCUUUGAGGAGGAGGGGAUGGUGGAGUCGUACCCAGGUGCCUCCGUGGAAGGCAAUGGGAAAAGAGCACUUCCAGCCGAGGACCAGUGUGUGUGAUGGCAUGAGGCCGGAGACCCGGAGACGCUCAGUGGGGCUGUAGUGCAGGAUGCACGAAGGAGAUGUAAGAUGAGAUGGCUGGGCAGGCGACAAGGAUCUGACCAGGUAGGGCCUUGUAGGACAGACCAAAGAGCUGGAACUUUGCCCUGGAGGAACUGAAAACUCAUGCACCCAAAUAUUUAGUCAUUUGCUCAUUCAACACAUAUUCACUGAGCACUCACCAAACCUGAGGGACUCUACAUUUAAAGAGUUUUAAGCAGGAAAUACGUGCGUACUUUAUAUUUUAGGAAAAUAGAAAGAUACCUGUAUGGAAAAUUAUUAAGGGACCUCCAUAGGGGACCAGGUGAGAGAUGAUCAAAAAAUGACCAAUGGUAGCAGCUGGGAGUUUGGGGGCAUACGUAACAAUGGGAGAGCUCUCCACUUGACAAACACAGGGGAUUAAGUCAAGCUCUUCAUUUCCUCUGCAAAACGCAGUGCUGAACGCGCGCCCACAUCAUGGGAAGUGCCUGCAAGUCUGGGCUGCUCUCCAGGACACCCAUGUGGGUCUGCUCCCAUCAGAGGAAUUGUAUGUCCAUCAAGGAUCAUUUGUGUUUAGUUCCACAUCUAUUUAUGCCAGUCUUAGUUGUUAAUUACUUAAUGAAAUAUUAACCAAUAAAAUAAAAUGUGUGCAAAUAAAGAGAAAUGUUUCUAUGAAUGUUGAGUUGAAAGCUUUGAAAAGACUUCCUCAAGAGAAUUGUUGACAGAAAAAAUGGCUAUGGAAUUGGGUGUGGUUGAGACAAUGAAAGGAUUGAGAAAAUCAUAAAAUUCUAGCAAGAUUCUGUACUCAGAAUCUUUACAAGGGUCUUUAAGGUCCCUCUCUACUUCAAAGAAACUGACGCUGGAAAUUGUAGAUGAUGCAUUAUGGGUGUGGUUUGUGUAAGAAAGAUGACAAGAAGCUCCAGUCAGCAGACCCGUUCUCAAAGAAAAGCCUUGGCUCCACAUCAAAAGAGUGGUGAAUGAACGUGCAUUUAUAUGCUUUAGGUUAAAAUUAAACAGGUUUGAAGUAUUAUGUAUCAUUUUUUUAGCUUUAAGAAAAGUUUUUAUUGAAGUGUAAUGUACACAGAGAAAGGAGCACAGAUCUAAGAGUGGAGUGGGAUAUAUUUUUACAGAGUGAACACUCAGGGUAGCCAGCAACUGGACCAGAAACCCAGCACCCCCAAAUCUUUCCUCAUGCCUAGCCCAAUCAUUACACACUCUCGCCUCAAACGUGACCGCUGCGCCGACUUCUGUCAGCAUUGAUUACUUUCGCCGGUUUUAUAAAUCAAGCAGAAUGUUUUUUCGUUGUUUGUUUUGGACUUGACUCCUUUUGUUUGGCCUUGGUUGUAAAAUCCAUCCAUGAUCUUCGGUGUAGCAAUGACUUGGUCAGUCUCAUUGUUGUAUGAUAUUCUGUGAGCUGUGUAUUGGUACACAGUAAGCACUCAAUAAAUGGCAGCCAAAAACAGAUGUAAGCCCAAGUCCUAGCAAAAUAAGACCACACCUGGACAGCUGUGCACCAUCCUCAGAUUGCUCAAAUGGUGCUUUGGAAGUGAAUGCCCCAAUUGAUCUAUCCAUUUUACUACUGGAGGGUAUUUACACUGUUUCCAGUGUCUGGCUAUUAUGAAUGGUGCUGCCAUAAACAUUUUUGUACAGGGCUUGUCAUGAACAUAUGCAUGCAUUUCUUUUGAGUAUCUAUCUAGGAGGAAAAUUGCUGGGCCCUAAGUUGUACAUAUACUCAGGUUUUGUAGAUACUGCCAAAGAGUUUUGUCGGGGAAGUGGCCGGCCAGGCCCUUCUUCCUAGUCUAUCUUAGUCUGGAAGCACUGCUGAAACCUAUCCACCAUGGGUGACCCUGUUGGUAUUUGAAAUCCCGGUGGCGUAGCUUUCAGCAUCACACAGCCGCCACAGUAUGACAACCAAAAGACGGGUGGUAUGGUUCUCUGACCAGGAAAUGAACCCGGGCCGGGUGGUGAGAGCGCUGAAUCUUAACUACUAGACCACCAGGGCUGGCUAGCUGGUACAUGACUAAUUGGUACAUUACUAUUAAGUAAACUUCAGACUUUAUGUGACUUUCAUCGGUUUUUCCAUUAUUGUCCUCUUUGUGGUCCAGGAGCCAUUCCAGGGAACCACAUUGCAUUUAAUUGUCAUGUCUCCCAAGCCUCCUCUGGUUUGUGACAGUUUCCCUGUCUUUCUUUGUUUUUAUGACCUUGAUGGUCUUGAGAAAUACUGGCUGGGUAUCCUGUGACAUAUCCCCCAGUCUGGGUCUGUCUGAUGUCAUUGUUAGGAUGGGGCUGAAGGUUUUUGGAAAGAAUACCACAGAGGUGAAGUGCUCUUCUCAUUACACCGCAGUUAAGGACUACAUACCGUCCACGUGACAUCACUGAUGAUGUUAACCUUCAUCACUUGGGUAAGGUGGGGUUUGCCAGUUUCGCCACUGUAAAGUCACUAUUUCCCCUUUCCCUAUUCGAGAGUUUGGAAGGGAACCACUAAGUGUAGCCCAUCCUCAGGCGGGGGAAGGGAGAAUUAAGUAUCACCUUACGGAGGAUGGAGUAUUCUACACAUAUUGUUUGGAAUUCUUCUGCAAGGAAGAUUUGUCUCAUUUCCCUCAUUCAUUCAUUCAUUCAUAUCAGUAUGGAUGAUUGUAUACUAUCCAUACUAUACUCACAUAUAUUAAUUUUAUACUUUGGGUUAUAAUCCAAUAGUACAUUAUUUAUUUGUUUCUCAAAUUUUUCCAACUUUGGCCACUGUGGCUCCCAUGUUCCUUUAAUGUGCCCCCACCCCCAUCUUUUUGUUUUCUUAAGCACUUUCUUACUUUCUGGUACUAUAAGAUACUCCUGGUUUAUAUUCUUACUUUCUCUGCCUCAGUCUAAGAAUCAUCCAUUUCUCUAUGGAGCCCUGAUUCCUUUUAUUAGAUAAUAAUUUUUAGAAACCAAGAUCUCAGUGCUCUGUGUCUCAUUGUAGCAUUAACUUGCAUUUCCCAUGAAGAUGAUUACCUUUUCAAAUGUUUAUUGGCCAUUUGAAAAUUCUUUUUAAGGCAGUGCCUAUUCGAAUCAUUUUUCUGUUGGAAUGUCUACAUUUUUUCUUAGAGAUUUGUAGACAUUUUUUCUGUUUUUGUAUAUUCUGGAUUUAAGUCCUUUGUAAGAUAUACAUAUCACAAAUAUCUUCUUCCACCCUGUGGCUUGUCUUUUCAUUCUGUUAAUGGUGUCUUUGAUAAACAGACAUUCUUGAUAUUAUUGUGGUACAAUUAGUCAUUUUUUCCCAUAUGGUUCUGCUUAUGAUCAUAAGAAUAUUCUCCUAUGUUAACUUCCGAAAGUUUUAUUGUUUUAUCUUUCCUAUUUAGAUCUAUAAUACACCUGGAAUUGAUUCUUGUGUGCAGUGUGAGGUAGAGUCAAGAUGCUUUAACUUUUUCCAUGUGGAUAGCCAAUUGAUCAAGCCCCAUUUAUUGAAAGACCAUCCUUUCCUCACUCCAUGCAUUUUCAUCUUUGUUUUUGAAAUCUCUGUUCAAUUCUGUAGGUCUAUUUGUCUAUCCUUUCACCAAUACCAGACUAUCUUAAUUACUGUAGAUUUAGGUCUUGAUAGCUAGUGGUGUAAAAUCCUCUGUUUUCUUCUUGUUCCUCAAGAUUACCUUGAGUAUUCUUGGUCCUUCGCUUUUUCAUAUAAAUAUUAGAACAACAGAUCAAUUUUCACACACACACACACACACACACACACACACACAGACACCUCUGUUGAGAAUUUCAUUGAAUCUACAGAUCAGUUAGACACCUUUAAAUGAUCAAGUCUUCUUCUCCAUCAAAAUAUAGUGGAUGCUUCUAUUUAUUUAGUCCUUUUAAAAUUUCUCCCAGUAAUACUUUGCAGUUUUUAGUGUAAAAGUCUUAUACAUAUUUUGUUUUAAUUUUAAGUAGUUGAUUUUUUUGAUAUUGUAUAGGUAGCCUUAAAAUUUUCAUUUGUGGGGCCAGCCUGGUAGCGUAGUGGCUGAGUUUGCAUGCUCCGCUUUGGCGGCCUGGGGUUUGUGGGUUCGGAGCCCAGGCAUGGACGUGCACAUUGCUCAUCAAGCUGUGCUGUGGCAGCAUCCCACAUACAAAAUGGAGGAAGUUUGGCACAGAUGUUAGCUCAGCAACCAUCUUCCUCAGGCAAAAAAAAAAAAAAAAAUUGUAAUUGUUUAUUGAUAGUGUAUCAAAAUAUUAUUUUUAAAAUAUAUUGUUA
rnacentral:lncRNA from 1 species